rnacentral:rRNA from 1 species
CCUACGGGGGGCUGCAGUGGGGAAUAUUGGACAAUGGGGGGAACCCUGAUCCAGCCAUGCCGCGUGUGUGAAGAAGGCCCUCGGGUUGUAAAGCACUUUCAGUGAGGAAGAACGCCUGGUGGUUAAUACCCAUCAGGAAAGACAUCACUCACAGAAGAAGCACCGGCUAACUCCGUGCCAGCAGCCGCGGUAAUACGGAGGGUGCGAGCGUUAAUCGGAAUUACUGGGCGUAAAGCGCGCGUAGGUGGCUUGAUAAGCCGGUUGUGAAAGCCCCGGGCUCAACCUGGGAACGGCAUCCGGAACUGUCAAGCUAGAGUGCAGGAGAGGAAGGUAGAAUUCCCGGUGUAGCGGUGAAAUGCGUGGAGAUCGGGAGGAAUACCAGUGGCGAAGGCGGCCUUCUGGACUGACACUGACACUGAGGUGCGAAAGCGUGGGUAGCAAACAGGAUUAGAUACCCGAGUAGUC